CAGACUUGUGAAGGUGGGGCCAGCCCCAUGUAAAUCCUAUGGACUGAGAGCUGGGGAGGGAGACAGGGUAUGAGGAGCUAAGAAAUGGCUUCCUUACUUUCUCUUCCUGAAUCGAGAACAAUUAAAAGAGGAUGGACACAGGAUUACGCAUAAGGGGUGCAAACUACCACAAGUUUGAAGAAUGUAGCUUCAUUGUUCAGCUGCAAAGAACUUCUAAGUACUAAAAUCUCAGAAACAGACAGCCCAUCACAGGCAGAACUGGCUACAUCCAGCUCCCUCUGUGUGGAUCUUGGGACAACCAAAGGAAGCAGAAAGGAUUCACUCACAAGCCACAUCCCAGGGCAAGCAGCCGGACCUUAAUCAAGACACGUGGCCCUCUCCUUCCCUUCUCUCCUCAGCAGUUUUUCAUAAAUGUUAAAGGGAGUAUGAAUCCAAGAUGGAGACGCCCCAGCUCCAGUCCCCAGGCGAUGUUGAAGUUGCCGUCAUCGGAAGCAGUCACAGAGGACACUCGCCUCGCUGGGGAAGGAGGAACCCACUCAAGGAAGAAAGAGGGAAGAAAGAAGAUAGAGGCUGAAGGAAGAGUAGGACGGGGAGCAGAAAAAUGACUAAUUUCUGCAUUAACCCUUUAGAAAAAUGCAUUAGAAGUUGAAACGUGGUUGCCCCUGGGCAGGGGGUGGAAGACAGGGAAUGAGGGUCUCCAGAUUGAAAAGUCUUUUCAUUGUAUACUCCUUG
rnacentral:lncRNA from 13 species